UCAUGCUAUAGACUGGUUGCAUCUUUCUUAAUGUAACUGAACCACUGUGACCAGUCAAGAAUAAUUAACACCUGAAAGGACCUGCACAUCUACAAUGGUGGAAGAUCACUCGACUUAAUAUUUAUGUGAAGAGAUUUAAUUUAGAUCUUCUUAGAUUUUAAUUAUUUAUUUACAUCGCAUAUAAAUCUAUAAUUAAAUUAGAUCUACCAGUG
rnacentral:lncRNA from 1 species